rnacentral:lncRNA from 1 species
AAAGUGCAAGAAUCUUAAAUACUGCAUUAAUCAAUAACUAUGUUCAUAUGGACUGGACAAAUCUCUAAAUACAAUUAUAAUAAUACUGCUUCUAUGUUUUAUAAUUCUCGAGAUACAUAUAUUUAAACUAAAAUAUAAAGAUAGGGUAUAGACAGAUAGGUGCUACUGUAUAUAACUAUUAAAAACUUCAAUCGAUAACUACUUAUAUAUCUUAUUUUAGCUGAAACUAACUAAGACAAAUUAUCUCCACUUGCUUUUUUGAAUUUUCUUCUAGAAUAAGUCCAUAAGGGAGUAGUCGUAUCAUUCUAUCUAUCAUAGCUAUGGUAGCUAAUCUGCUUCAAAUUCACUUCAAUGUGAAGAUUGUUUUUUUCUAAUCUUCAAAAUUCUGCAUUUUUCAUAUACCAAUUGUGACAAUUUGCUCUUAUACCAGAGGUGAGAAAAUUUAAAGAGUAAGAACACUCAAUCGAAAUUUACCUAGUCAACUUCAUUAUUCUACGAUUGUUACUAGGACGUCAAGAUUCAAACUCUGCAUAGUUGUUUUCUUCGGUGAUAUGGUUCUUGUGGGUCCAUCCCCAUUAAUGCCUUUGAAAAUUUGAUUCAUGGCAUGGCUUAUUUUUU